GAUGAACGCUGGCGGCGUGCCUAAUACAUGCAAGUCGAGCGAACAGACGAGGAGCUUGCUCCUCUGACGUUAGCGGCUGACGGGUGAGUAACACGUGGAUAACCUACCUAUAAGACUGGGAUAACUUCGGGAAACCGGAGCUAAUACCGGAUAAUAUAUUGAACCGCAUGGUUCAAUAGUUAAAGACGGUUUUGCUGUCACUUAUAGAUGGUUCCGCGCUGCAUUAGCUAGUUGGUAAGGUAACGGCUUACCAAGGCAACGAUGCGUAGCCGACCUGAGAGGGUGAUCGGCCACACUGGAACUGAGACACGGUCCAGACUCCUACGGGAGGCAGCAGUAGGGAAUAUUCCGCAAUGGGCGAAAGCCUGACGGAGCAACACCGCGUGAGUGAUGAAGGUCUUCGGAUCGUAAAACUCUGUUAUUAGGAAAGAACAAAUGUGUAAGUAACUAUGCACGUCUUGACGGUACCUAAUCAGAAAGCCACGGCUAACUACGUG
rnacentral:rRNA from 1 species